rnacentral:rRNA from 1 species
ACGGGAGGCAGCAGCAGGGAAUAUUGCGCAAUGAGCGAAUGCUUGACGCAGCGACACCGCGUGUGGGAUGACGGAUCUAGGUUUAUAAACCACUUUCAGGAGGGAAGAAAAUGACGGUACCUCCACAAGAAGCCCCGGCCAACUACGUGCCAGCAGCCGCGGUAAUACGUAGGGGGCGAGCGUUGUCCGGAUUUAUUGGGCGUAAAGAGCUCGUAGGCGGUUCAACAAGUCGGUCGUGAAAGUUCAGGGCUCAACCCUGAAAUGUCGAUCGAUACUGUUGUGACUAGGAUACGGUAGAGGUGAGUGGAAUUCCGAGUGUAGCGGUGAAAUGCGUAGAUAUUCGGAGGAACACCAAUUGCGAAGGCAGCUCACUGGGCCGCUAUCGACGCUGAGGAGCGAAAGCUAGG